UACAGAGGGUGCGAGCGUUAAUCGGAAUUACUGGGCGUAAAGCGCACGUAGGCGGCUUGGUAUGUCGGGUGUGAAAUCCCCGGGCUCAACCUGGGAACUGCAUCCGAAACUGCCUUGCUAGAGUAUGGGAGAGGGAAGUGGAAUUUCCGGUGUAGCGGUGAAAUGCGUAGAUAUCGGAAGGAACAUCAGUGGCGAAGGCGACUUCCUGGACCAAUACUGACGCUCAGGUGCGAAAGCGUGGGGAGCAAACGGGG
rnacentral:rRNA from 1 species